rnacentral:rRNA from 1 species
UACGUAGGGGGCAAGCGUUAUCCGGAUUUACUGGGUGUAAAGGGAGCGUAGACGGCGAUGCAAGCCAGAUGUGAAAGCCCGGGGCUCAACCCCGGGACUGCAUUUGGAACUGUGUGGCUGGAGUGUCGGAGAGGCAAGUGGAAUUCCUAGUGUAGCGGUGAAAUGCGUAGAUAUUAGGAGGAAUACCAGUGGCGAAGGCGGCUUGCUGGACGAUGACUGACGUUGAGGCUCGAAAGCGUGGGGAGCAAACAGG